rnacentral:rRNA from 1 species
UCGGAGUGAAAGGCUAAUCAAGCCCGGAGAUAGCUGGUUCUCCUCGAAAGCUAUUUAGGUAGCGCCUCGUGUCUCACCAUUGGGGGUAGAGCACUGUUUCGGCUAGGGGGUCAUCCCGACUUACCAACCCGAUGCAAACUCCGAAUACCAAUGAGUGCAAUCACGGGAGACACACGGCGGGUGCUAACGUCCGUCGUGGAAAGGGAAACAACCCAGACCGUCAGCUAAGGUCCCAAAGUUAUAGUUAAGUGGGAAACGAUGUGGGAAGGUUUAGACAGCUAGGAGGUUGGCUUAGAAGCAGCCAUCCUUUAAAGAAAGCGUAAUAGCUCACUAGUCGAAUCGGCCUGCGCGGAAGAUAUAACGGGGCUCAAACUAUACACCGAAGCUACGGACGCAUGCUUGCAUGCGUGGUAGAGGAGCGUUCUGUAGGCCGUUGAAGGGAAAGCUGAGAGGCAUCCUGGAGGUAUCAGAAGUGCGAAUGCUGACAUGAGUAACGAUAAGGGGAGUGAAAAGCUCCCCCGCCGGAAGACCAAGGUUUCCUAUCCAAUGCUAAUCAGGGUAGGGUGAGUCGGCCCCUAAGGCGAGGCUGAAGAGCGUAGUCGAUGGGAAGCAGGUUAAUAUUCCUGCACCACUCAAUAUUGCGAAGGAGGGACGGAGAAGGCUAGUCCAGCGCGGCGUUGGUUGUCCGCGUUUAAGCGUGUAGGCUUAAAUCUUAGGUAAAUCCGGGAUUUUUUAAGGCUGAGGCGUGAUGACGAGGUCCAUUAGGACUGAAGUGGUUGAUGCCAUGCUUCCAGGAAAAGCUUCUAAGCUAUAGAUAUUGAGUGACCGUACCCCAAACCGACACAGGUGGUCAGGUAGAGAAUACCAAGGCGCUUGAGAGAACUCGGGUGAAGGAACUAGGCAAAAUGGUACCGUAACUUCGGGAGAAGGUACGCCGCUGAUGGUGAUGGGACUUGCUCCCUAAGCUGUUGGCGGCCGAAGAUACCAGGUGGCUGCGACUGUUUAUUAAAAACACAGCACUGUGCAAACACGAAAGUGGACGUAUACGGUGUGACGCCUGCCCGGUGCCGGAAGGUUAAUUGAUGGGGUUAGCUUCGGCGAAGCUCUUGAUCGAAGCCCCGGUAAACGGCGGCCGUAACUAUAACGGUCCUAAGGUAGCGAAAUUCCUUGUCGGGUAAGUUCCGACCUGCACGAAUGGCGUAACGACGGCCACACUGUCUCCACCCGAGACUCAGUGAAAUUGAAAUCGCUGUUAAGAUGCAGUGUAUCCGCGGCUAGACGGAAAGACCCCGUGAACCUUUACUAUAGCUUCACAGUGAACUUUGAACCUAUUUGUGUAGGAUAGGUGGGAGGCUUUGAAACUGGGACGCUAGUCUCAGUGGAGCCAAACUUGAAAUACCACCCUGGUAUGUUUGAGGUUCUAACUCAGGUCCGUAAUCCGGAUCGAGGACACUGUGUGGUGGGUAGUUUGACUGGGGCGGUCUCCUCCCAAAGAGUAACGGAGGAGCACGAAGGUAUGCUAAUCAUGGUCGGAAAUCAUGAGGUUAGUGCAAUGGCAUAAGCAUGCUUAACUGCGAGACAGACACGUCGAGCAGAUACGAAAGUAGGUCAUAGUGAUCCGGUGGUUCUGAAUGGAAGGGCCAUCGCUCAACGGAUAAAAGGUACUCCGGGGAUAACAGGCUGAUACCGCCCAAGAGUUCAUAUCGACGGCGGUGUUUGGC